CUAAGCAUAUCAAUAAGCGGAGGAAAAGAAACCAACAGGGAUUGCCCUAGUAACGGCGAGUGAAGCGGCAACAGCUCAAAUUUGAAAUCUGGCGCAAGCCCGAGUUGUAAUUUGCAGAGGAUGCUUCUGGGUAGCGACCGAUCUAAGUUCCUUGGAACAGGACGUCAUAGAGGGUGAGAAUCCCGUAUGUGACCGGCCCGCACCCUUUACGUAGCUCCUUCGACGAGUCGAGUUGUUUGGGAAUGCAGCUCUAAAUGGGAGGUAAAUUUCUUCUAAAGCUAAAUACCGGCCAGAGACCGAUAGCGCACAAGUAGAGUGAUCGAAAGAUGAAAAGUACUUUGGAAAGAGAGUUAAAAAGCACGUGAAAUUGUUGAAAGGGAAGCGCCUGCAACCAGACUUCGCGGCAGUGUUCCGCCGGUCUUCUGACCGGUUCAUUCUCUGCCGCGAGGCCAUCAUCGUCUCGGCCCGCCGGAUAAGACCUGAGGAAUGUAGCUCACCUUCGGGGGAGUGUUAUAGCCUCUGGUGAUACGGCGCGGCUGGGGCGAGGUCCGCGCUUCGGCAAGGAUGAUGGCGUAAUGGUUGUCGGCGGCCCGUCUUGAAACACGGACCAAGGAGUCUAACAUCUAUGCGAGUGUUCGGGUGUCAAACCCCUACGCGUAAUGAAAGUGAACGGAGGUGGGAACCGCAAGGUGCACCAUCGACCGAUCCUGAUGUCCUCGGAUGGAUUUGAGUAAGAGCAUAGCUGUUGGGACCCGAAAGAUGGUGAACUAUGCCUGAAUAGGGUGAAGCCAGAGGAAACUCUGGUGGAGGCUCGCAGCGGUUCUGACGUGCAAAUCGAUCGUCAAAUUUGGGUAUAGGGGCGAAAGACUAAUCGAACCAUCUAGUAGCUGGUUCCUGCC
rnacentral:rRNA from 1 species